rnacentral:rRNA from 1 species
GAAACCAACAGGGAUUGCCUCAGUAACGGCGAGUGAAGCGGCAACAGCUCAAAUUUGAAAUCUGGCCUCACGGUCCGAGUUGUAAUUUGUAGAGGAUGCUUUUGGCGAGGUGCUUUCCGAGUUCCCUGGAACGGGACGCCAUAGAGGGUGAGAGCCCCGUACGGUAAGACCACCGAGCCUCUGUAAAGCUCCUUCGACGAGUCGAGUAGUUUGGGAAUGCUGCUCUAAAUGGGAGGUGUACGUCUUCUAAAGCUAAAUACCGGCCAGAGACCGAUAGCGCACAAGUAGAGUGAUCGAAAGAUGAAAAGCACUUUGAAAAGAGGGUUAAAAAGUACGUGAAAUUGUUGAAAGGGAAGCAUUCAUGACCAGACUUGGGCUUGGUUGAACAUCCGGCGUUCUCGCCGGUGCACUCUGCCAGUCCAGGCCAGCAUCAGUUUGCCCCGGGGGACAAAGGCGGUGGGAAUGUGGCUCCCUUCGGGGAGUGUUAUAGCCCGCCGUGUAAUGCCCUGGGGCGGACUGAGGAACGCGCUUCGGCACGGAUG